CCUACCUGUGGCGGUGCUGGUCGUGACCCUGUCCAUGGAUAAGGAAGCUCCCUGUAUUCUUGUCUCCUUUAUCUGAAUCUAUGUGAGGGAUCAGCACAUCUUCCAGACCCAGGUCGAAGCGUUUGUGCUUGGAUGAGUCGGGAAGGAAAAAGAAGGCCCCGAAACAUAAGGUGAUGAAGGCACUGAGAAUGAGGAGCAAAAUGAACUUUUCAGAGAGCCUCAGCGUGGCCCGGUGGUGAGGGACAGAGGAGGUCCCUAAAUUUAAAGCAGGGAUCCGGCGCCCAGAGAGGGGAAGCAGAGCUGGAGUGGUCAUUUUUUGAAAUGUAAUUAUAUCUCCACAAGUAAUGGUCACUCCAAAUGGUCAAGUAUCAUGUUAUACCAAAUGUACACAGCAUGGAGGGCUCCUUCCUCACACCACGAUGUGUCUUUCGAAGCAGUCAGCAACCUGAAUGGAUGAUAAUCUCUACGUGGCCCUUCAAAUUGCUUCCCUUUUCCUGACAGCUCUGUAGAUUCAUCCAAGAAAAAAACCAGUACACGAAGGCAAUGCCAGCUUCCUGUUCAAAUGAGACUGCUUCAACUUCAGACUACCUGGCAAAAACAAAGGGAUCAGUAAUGGGACCGGUGACACCAGAAAAACAGGGGGUAGCACAUACACAGGGGCCAGAAAGGAGAGGGGUACACACACACAGACUGGUAACCAAGACACCCAGAAAGGAGAGGGGUACACACACACACACACACACACAGACAGACUAGUAACCAAGACACCCAGAAAGGAGAGGGGUACACACACACAGAC